UUGAACGCUGGCGGAAUGCUUUACACAUGCAAGUCGAACGGCAGCACGGGGGCAACCCCUGGUGGCGAGUGGCGAACGGGUGAGUAAUACAUCGGAACGUGCCCAGUCGUGGGGGGAUAACGUAGCGAAAGCUACGCUAAUACCGCAUACGAUCUAUGGAUGAAAGCGGGGGACCGCAAGGCCUCGCGCGAUUGGAGCGGCCGAUGGCAGAUUAGGUAGUUGGUGAGGUAAAGGCUCACCAAGCCUGCGAUCUGUAGCUGGUCUGAGAGGACGACCAGCCACACUGGGACUGAGACACGGCCCAGACUCCUACGGGAGGCAGCAGUUGGGAAUUUUGGACAAUGGGCGCAAGCCUGAUCCAGCCAUUCCGCGUGCAGGAUGAAGGCCUUCGGGUUGUAAACUGCUUUUGUACGGAACGAAAAGGCUCCUUCUAAUACAGGGGGCUCAUGACGGUACCGUAAGAAUAAGCACCGGCUAACUACGUGCCAGCAGCCGCGGGUAAUUACGUAGGGUGCGAGCGUUAAUCGGAAUUACUGGGCGUAAAGCGUGCGCAGGCGGUGAUGUAAGACAGAUGUGAAAUCCCCGGGCUCAACCUGGGAACUGCAUUUGUGACUGCAUCGCUGGAGUGCGGCAGAGGGGGAUGGAAUUCCGCGUGUAGCAGUGAAAUGCGUAGAUAUGCGGAGGAACACCGAUGGCGAAGGCAAUCCCCUGGGCCUGCACUGACGCUCAUGCACGAAAGCGUGGGAGCAAACAGGAUUAGAUACCCUGGUAGUCCACGCCCUAAACGAUGUCAACUGGUGUUGGUCCUCACUGGAUCAGUAACGAAGCUAACGCGUGAAGUUGACCGCUGGGGAGUACGGCCGCAAGGGGUGAAACUCAAAGGAAUUGACGGGGACCCGCACAGCGGUGGAUGAUGUGGUUUAAUUCGAUGCAACGCGAAAAACCUUACCCACCUUUGACAUGUACGGAAUUCCGCAGAGAUGUGGAAGUGCUCGAAAGAGAGCCGUAACACAGGUGCUUGCAUGGCUGUCGUCAGCUCGUUGUCGUGAGAUGUUGGGUUAAGUCCCGCAACGAGCGCAACCCUUGUCAUUAGUUGCUACAUUUCAGUUGGGCACUCUAAUGAGACUGCCGGUGACAAACCGGAGGAAGGUGGGGAUGGCGUCAAGUCCUCAUGGCCCUUAUAGGUGGGGCUACACACGUCAUACAAUGGCCGGUACAAAGGGCUGCCAACCCGCGAGGGGGAGCCAAUCCCAUAAAACCGGUCGUAGUCCGGAUCGCAGUCUGCAACUCGACUGCGUGAAGUCGGAAUCGCUAGUAAUCGUGGAUCAGAAUGUCACGGUGAAUACGUUCCCGGGUCUUGUACACACCGCCCGUCACACCAUGGGAGCGGGUUCUGCCAGAAGUAGUUAGCCUAACCGCAAGGAGGGCGAUUACCACGGCAGGGUUCGUGACUGGGGGU
rnacentral:rRNA from 1 species